ACUCUAUGAGUACAUCAGUAUAUUUGACUUCCAAUCAGAAGGUCUUAGCGAAAGUCUAAGAUAGAGUA
rnacentral:tRNA from 1 species